GAUGAAGAACGCAGCGAAAUGCGAUAAGUAAUGCGAAUUGCAGAAUUCAGUGAAUCAUCGAGUCUUUGAACGCACAUUGCGCCCCCUGGCAUUCCGGGGGGCAUGCCUGUCCGAGCGUCAUUGCUGCCCUUCAAGCCCGGCUUGUGUGUUGGGUCGUCGUCCCCCCCGGGGGACGGGCCCGAAAGGCAGCGGCGGCACCGCGUCCGGUCCUCGAGCGUAUGGGGCUUUGUCACCCGCUCGAUUAGGGCCGGCCGGGCGCCAGCCGGCGUCUCCAACCUUCUAUUUUACCAGGUUGACCUCGGAUCAGGUAGGGAUACCCGCUGAACUUAAGCAUAUCAAUAAGCGGAGGA
rnacentral:misc_RNA from 1 species